AUGGCGACCGGCGCACGGGUGAGUAACGCGUAUCCAACCUGCCCUUUACUAUGGGACAGCCCGUCGAAAGGCGGAUUAAUACCGUAUGUCGUCAUGUUGAUGCAUAUUUUCAUGACCAAAGGCUUCGGCCGGUAAAGGAUGGGGAUGCGUCUGAUUAGCUUGCCGGCGGGGUAACGGCCCACCGGGGCGACGAUCAGUAGGGGUUCUGAGAGGAAGGUCCCCCACAUUGGAACUGAGACACGGUCCAAACUCCUACGGAAGGCAGCAG
rnacentral:rRNA from 1 species